GACGAACGCUGGCGGCGUGCCUAAUACAUGCAAGUUGAGCGCUGAAGGUUGGUACUUGUACCAACUGGAUGAGCAGCGAACGGGUGAGUAACGCGUGGGGAAUCUGCCUUUGAGCGGGGGACAACAUUUGGAAACGAAUGCUAAUACCGCAUAAAAACUUUAAACACAAGUUUUAAGUUUGAAAGAUGCAAUUGCAUCACUCAAAGAUGAUCCCGCGUUGUAUUAGCUAGUUGGUGAGGUAAAGGCUCACCAAGGCGAUGAUACAUAGCCGACCUGAGAGGGUGAUCGGCCACAUUGGGACUGGGACCCGGCCCAAACUCCUACGGGAGGCAGCAGUAGGGGAUCUUCGGCAAUGGACGAAAGUCUGACCGAGCAACGCCGCGUGAGUGAAGAAGGUUUUCGGAUCGUAAAACUCUGUUGGUAGAGAAGAACGUUGGUGAGAGUGGAAAGCUCAUCAAGUGACGGUAACUACCCAGAAAGGGACGGCUAACUACGUG
rnacentral:rRNA from 1 species